UACGUAGGUGACAAGCGUUGUCCGGAUUUACUGGGCGUAAAGAGCGCGCAGGCGGUCGAUCAAGUCGAGUGUGAAAGCCCCCGGCUCAACUGGGGAGGGUCAUUCGAUACUGAUCGACUCGAAGGCAGGAGAGGGUAGUGGAAUUCCCGGGUGUAGUGGUGAAAUGCGUAGAUAUCGGGAGGAACACCAGUGGCGAAGGCGACUACCUGGCCUGUUCUUGACGCUGAGCGCGAAAGCCAGGGGAGCAA
rnacentral:rRNA from 1 species